GGGACGUAUCAGUGACUCAAACUUUUGUGUUUUUUAUUUUCAUUUGGGACUUUGUAAUUUUUCUUUUUCUUAAAUUUUUCUUUUUGGUCGGUAUAACGGAUGAUAACUUCGGUUACAUCUAUCACUAUUAUGUCGAUUUUGUUAUGAUUGCCUGGUUCCGAAAAUGGUUGUUCUAUCACAUCCCACCAUCAAACUCCAUUUCACCAACUCAAUUCGGUAUCAACUAUUCUCUUCUCUAAUGUGACAUCUUGUGAGGGUAAUGUUAU
rnacentral:lncRNA from 1 species